AGUGAACGCUGGCGGCGUGCUUAACACAUGCAAGUCGAACGAGAACGGGUUAUAGCUUGCUAUAAUUGUCAGCUAAGUGGCGCACGGGUGAGUAAUGUAUAGGUAAUAUGCCUCUUACUAAGGGAUAACAAAUGGAAACGUUUGCUAAUACCUUAUACUCCUUACUAACUAAAGUUAGUAAGGGAAAGAUUUAUUGGUAAGAGAUUAGCCUGUAUUGUAUCAGUUAGUUGGUGGGGUAAUGGCCUACCAAGACAAUGACGCAUAACUGGUUUGAGAGGAUGAUCAGUCACACUGGAACUGAGACACGGUCCAGACUCCUACGGGAGGCAGCAGUGGGGAAUAUUGCACAAUGGACGAAAGUCUGAUGCAGCAACGCCGCGUGGAGGAUGACACAUUUCGGUGCGUAAACUCCUUUUAUAUAAGAAGAUAAUGACGGUAUUAUAUGAAUAAGCACCGGCUAACUCCGUGCCAGCAGCCGCGGUAAAGUCUAG
rnacentral:rRNA from 1 species